rnacentral:rRNA from 1 species
UAUUAUUUAAAUGUAAAUAUAAAUACUUAAGUAGUAGUAGUUAUGUUCUUGAAACUUAAAAAAUUUGGCGGUAUUUUAGUCUAUCCAGAGGAACCUGUUUUGUAAUCGAUAAUCCACGAUGGACCUUACUUAAAUUUGUAAUCAGUUUAUAUACCGUCGUUAUCAGAAUAUUUUAUAAGAAUAAUAAUAUUCAAUAAUUUUUAUUAAAAUUUAUAUCAGAUCAAGGUGUAGCUUAUAUUUAUGUAAUAAUGGGUUACAAUAAAUUAAUUUAAACGGAUAAAAUUAUGAAAAGAUUUUUGAAGGUGGAUUUGGUUGUAAAAUUAUAAAGAUUAAUAAUUUGAUUUUAGCUCUAAAAUAUGUACACAUCGCCCGUCGCUCUUAUUAUUAAGGUAAGAUAAGUCGUAACAUAGUAGAUGUACUGGAAAGUGUAUCUAGAAUGA